CGGGCGGACCGGCGCGGCGCAGGCAAGCAGCGAGCGCGGCGACGACAUGGGCGACGGCGCACGCUAGAGCGGGGCGGAGGGCGAGCGCGUGCGCGUAGAGGGCGAGCGAGAGGCAGCACUUAUAAGGGUGAGGACGCGCGUCGCACGCGGCGUUCGCGGGCGGCGUUCGUGGCCAACUUGAACACGGCUCUGCUCGGCUUGGUCUGGGUGUGUGUGGAUGCUUCUACCAUUAGCACUAAUGAUUAUGUUAAGCUCUCAAUUAAUCCUAAUUAAGAUAAUUAACACAUGGGGUGUUGCAGUGCAUCUCAAAGUAUGAAUAUGAGAUUUUUUUUAUUGAAUUGUGCUAACUGAAAUAUGAUGCCUUUUUUUGAUUGAUUAUGCUAACUGAUAUAUGAUGCCUUUUUUAAUCUCAAAGGAUGGCAUGAAGUUGAUAUAGGACUUCUUGUCCAACGGAAACGAGUAGUCUGUGUGUAUAGGUACUAUAUUUUCUGCUUGUAGCAUUUGAGUUUGUUACCAGUGUGCAUCUCAAAGUAUGAAUAUGAGAUUUUUUUAUUGAAUUGUGCUAACUUAUAUAUGAUGCCUUUUUUUGAUUGAUUAUGCUAACUGACAAAUAUUAACAUCUUAGCUAAUCUCUCCAUAUAAAAGCAGUUUUUUUUUACCUCAACUAGAUGUGCGCAGAUGAUAGCACAACCAAGGCACAUUCAGGCUUUUAGAGGUCCACCACAAAGGGUGUUGUCUGGUGUUUUGCAUUCUUUUCUUGCAAGUUGCAGAGCUGGUGUGCCGUUUCAACCUGUUCCAGUACCAGCUCUUGGUUUAUCCGGAAGCGACAAACAAUGCUUAGGUCAAUACUUUAUUGCAUUUGCUUGAUAUUGACAACUGAAUGAGAGGCCCUAUGCAUGGACAGUACCCAGAGCUGGAACAGUACUCGAAUCAGUCCAAAAGUUCUAUGGGACCUAUCUCGAUGCAUAAUGCUGCAGAUAAAUAGAUUACCGAGUUUCGCAAUCAAAAUAAUAACCCAGAAAGCUGGGCAAAUUCUUUCGAGCAGCAAUAUGGAAAUGGUUGGGCCUCUGAGUUUGAACAGGGAUCUUUUUAUCCACUACAUAAUGAGAUCUUUUUAAGGCUCGCAGUGCUGUAUGAUAGGCUAUAUCCUAUUAUCCACUACAUAUGAACACACUGCUGGCAACUCUUGCGCAUCUCAUCCAAGACGUUUCUGGUUACCAGCUAAGAAUUAUGGUCACAUGCAUUUUUUUUAAAUAUGCAUUGACCACAAGCGCCAAAUGAUCCAUGGAGCACAUAGCAUCUAUUGAUCACAUAAAGCCUUCCAUUUUCUUAUGAUAGAUUAACCAUCAAGCGCCGGUCGUUUGUAACUCUGGGGAAUUCACAGCAUACCACUCCACUGUAUUUUAGGAUCCAUCAGGAAUUUGAUUAGACCUUCCAUUAUAGGGUACUGUAUAAAUGGUUCUCUUAUCGUACUAUGGGCCAGCAGCUGCCAAGUUGUGUUGCUUCUGCAAA